rnacentral:rRNA from 1 species
UACGAGGGGGGCAAGCGUUGUUCGGAAUUACUGGGCGUAAAGGGCUCGUAGGCGGCCAACUAAGUCAGACGUGAAAUCCCUCGGCUUAACCGGGGAACUGCAUCUGAUACUGGAUGGCUUGAGUUCGGGAGAGGGAUGCGGAAUUCCAGGUGUAGCGGUGAAAUGCGUAGAUAUCUGGAGGAACACCGGUGGCGAAGGCGGCAUCCUGGACCGACACUGACGCUGAGGAGCGAAAGCCAGGGGAGCAAACGGG